AGUCCUGCGGCUUAUUUUCUACAAAGGCAUUGGCCCCUGCAGCAAUCUAGGAGAGGCAUAAGGAGGGAAACCAGAACUUAGGGUCCAGUUAGUUGAAGGCACGGCCACCAAAAGUCAUAGAGUCGUAGCCAAGGAGCGCAGAAGAAGCUUUUAGGCCCAUUGAUGGGAUCAAAGAGGGGUCUGAAGGAGCAUAGGCUUCUUGGAUGUCUGUGGCGUUGGAGGAGAUUUUCGAGAUAGGAAGCAGGAAAGCCCUGGUGGGAAAACAGGGGUGAAGGAUUUGAAAUUGGGUCACUGUCUUGUCUGGAAGCCAGUGUACAUCAGAGAAUGCCGUGUGGCGAGGGUGAAUGGGACACAAGAUGUCUCAAUGAUGAUCCUUGUCGGACCAAGCCCUGGCCCUUUACUGAACAGAAAACUGUUGUGAAUGACCACAGACAAGAAUGACGCUGCUAGACCUCCUGAGCUUUUCCAGCGACUUCUGUUUUUGUUCCAGACUUUCUGUAGUGGGAUGACAUGACUACUGUGGGCAUGGAGUCACAUGCAAGUAAGACCAGAGAUUUGCAAACAAGCACCUUGGAGUUACAAAGGGGUGAUGUUUCAUCUUCAGUAUCAAUAGUGCUUUACACUGGAAAGAAAAUAUGAAUAUCAAG